rnacentral:lncRNA from 1 species
AGAAUCCAGUGGCAGGCCCGCUCAUAUUCCUCAAUCCAGCACCCUGUACACAGUCUACUAUGUAACACAAUGGGCACCUAGUAAAAGUUUUGUUGGAUCAAAUAACACUCACAUUGUCCAAGAUUCUCAUGGAAGAUGCAUCUUAACCUCUUUAGGAUUUUCACAGGGAAGGAGUUCCACAUGAACAGCCUGUUCUGGAAUGAGUGGUGAUGAGAUGGGAUGAGAGCAUUUUCUCAGUGUUUCUCAAAUGGUACCGUGCAGACCCUUGGGUAUCAACUCAGCCCCAUCACCAAAACCAAUAGUGGUUGGAACUCAAGGAACAGGAACUUUGGGGAAGCUGAGAAGAAGGGCAGCUGGGGCCUGACUUCAUUCUCUCAGGAUUCCCUUCCUGUGAGCCUCUGGUUAUUCUAUCCUGCAUGCAAGGCAGAUAUGGAGAGGUUCUGAGUCAAGGCCCGGAAGACCAGUGCUGUGGAAGAUGAGAAUGAACUAGCAGAGUGCCUGGCUCUAGGACUCAACACAUAUUGUUAAAUGCAUGAAUGAAGCUGAACUAUAUAGAACCAGAGUACUGUUUCCUAGAACAGAUGAAGAAGACCUUAUUACCUCAGACCUCUCAAGAGGUAUCAGUAGAGAAUUUGAUGGGGGCCCUGGUUGGAAGUUAUGUGAACCUGGGCAUGUAACUUCACCUUUUUGAGUCUGUAUUUCAUCACCUGAAAAAGCAAAGGUGAGUUUCAUGAAUGAGCUUUAAUUACAGGAAGAUUUUGU